rfam:[Eubacterium] angustum strain DSM 1989 ETAN_contig000073, whole genome shotgun sequence.
CGGGGUGUAGCGCAGUUUGGUAGCGCACAUGGUUUGGGACCAUGGGGCCGGGGGUUCGAGUCCCUCCACCCCGA